AGAAGUGGAAGCAUAGUGAUAUGUGAAGCGGACUAAUACUAAUCAGUCGAGGACUUAACCA
rnacentral:rRNA from 1 species